UAUAGACUAAUAAUUUCCAUAAAAAAACUCAAAAUGAAAUAAAACCACAAAACUCAAAAACACCGUAGAGUACCUGUGCCUGUCUACAUGAACCACUGCUUUUCAGCCAGAAAGGAGGGUACUGCCAGAAGACAGAGCAAGGAAAAAUAACUUUGUGUUGAGCUCAAUGAAUUCAGUUCAGCUGGUACUGGAAGAAUGAGGUUUUUCUGUUUUUCCUCUUGACAUGCCAAGAAGGCCUUUGCAGUAAGGACUAGGCAAAAUGAUUUCCUUGGGGCCACAUUUCCUGAGAGUGUGCUGGCUAUGUUCCUGAGAACCAGAGAGAGUCAUGGUUUGGAUCAGACUGUGUCACUGUUGCAGAAGAAGUAAUGCUGGGGAUUGAGAAAUGGGUACAGGAGCUGCAUCUUUC
rnacentral:lncRNA from 1 species